rnacentral:rRNA from 1 species
AUCCUGGGGCUGGAGUCGGUCCCAAGGGUUGGGCUGUUCGCCCAUUAAAGCGGUACGCGAGCUGGGUUUAGAACGUCGUGAGACAGUUCGGUCCCUAUCCGCUGUGCGCGUAGGAAUAUUGAGAAGGGCUGUCCCUAGUACGAGAGGACCGGGACGGACGAACCUCUGGUGUGCCAGUUGUUCUGCCAAGGGCAUGGCUGGUUGGCUACGUUCGGGAGGGAUAACCGCUGAAAGCAUCUAAGCGGGAAGCCUGCUUCGAGAUGAGUAUUCCCACCUCCUUGAGAGGGUAAGGCUCCCAGUAGACGACUGGGUUGAUAGGCCGGAUAUGGAAGCCCUGUAAGGGGUGGAGUUGACCGGUACUAAUAGGCCGAGGGCUUGUCCUCAGUUG